CCGUCCGUAUCACUUCCCGCCCCGCCAUCUUCAUCGCCGACCGCCACCUGGCCCAUGACGCUCUCGUCCACCACGGUGCGGUCUUCGCCGACCGCCCUUCCUCCAACCAAGCCAACAACUUGCUCACCAGCAACCGGCACAACAUCAGCUCCGCACCCUACGGCCCAUUGUGGCGCCUCCUCCGCCGAAACCUGACCUCCGGGAUCCUCCAACCCGCUCGCGUCAGGCUGUUUGCCGACUACCGCCGGUGGGUGCUCG
rnacentral:lncRNA from 1 species